rnacentral:lncRNA from 1 species
AUCUAUGUUGUUCACACUAACUUAAAUUCUGUUCACACAGGUAUUUAACAUGUUCACACAAAUAGCAUUAAAAUCCAGUUCAUGCUUGAAGAUGGUACAUGAAUUGGCCGAACCAUCAUGAUGCUUCACUUGAUGCAUUCAUGCAUCCUUAGCCUUGAAGAAUCUCCAUAAUUCCAUGAAUGUGCAGCUCUUUAAUGAUCCUACAUCUCUCUUGGCUGAAUGAGGCAUUAAUGUGCCUAAAAUACUUGAAUGGUCAUCUUGAAAAUGCAUGAAUCAUGCAUGAAACGUCCCAUGUAUUUUCCCCCAUAAAUAUGAUCCAUGAAUCUUCAAAUACAUGAACUUUCAGCAACUCCCUCUUGCAUGAACGUCCCAAAUGCAUGUGCUCCUUUAAAUGCCAUCCAUUGAACCUCAAUUGUGCAUGCACACUCCCAUACAUUGCACCAAUCCGUUCAUGAACCUGUAGCAAAUUAAAUCAGCAAGUUAAAUGCAUUUCAAACACAUUAAAUUAGCAGCAUAUGAACUCAAUAAUUUGCACAUUAAAUUUGGCCAUACAUAUUAACAAUUUUAGACAUAUUUAAAACAUCAUAAUUAAUUAAGUAUUUAAUUUAGAUAUAAUUAAAACACUUAAUUAAUUAUUUGUCCAGAUUUUAACAAAUUAAUUAACUGAAAAUAAACAACUAAUUCAACUAAAGACAAAUUAAAUGGUUUAUUUCAGCAAAAUAAAUUCAAGCUAAAAAUAAGCUCAUUGGGUUAAGAUUGAGCUGAAUUGAGCUUGAGUGAGUUGACUUGAGCUCGAGUGAGCUGGAAACGAGCUAAACGGAGCUUAACUAAAUGAAAUUGAACUAAUUUAGCUCGCAUGGAUUUGCAAACAAUGCUUAGGGAGCUGAUCCAAAAGUGUGCCCGGGGCAUGGUCGUAUCAAGGUGGUUUGAUGGUUUCCAAUGAAACAAGAAUGAACCCCUUUUAGCAAAUAAGGACCCAGGCUUAAAGGUUUCAAAGAAAGAAAAGAAAUUAGGAUAAAAACUGAGACCCUCUAUUUAGCAAAAUAGGAACCUACGGUAUGAAGAACGCCACACCUAAUGGCGAUAAGUUCGAAACAAAGUCAGAUUGACGCCACUUGUGAAGAUAAGUCAAUUGAGCUUUGGAGAAUAAGGAGAGUGAAUUAACUCACCAAAAAUAUAAUUCAUUCAAAA